UUUCCGACGCUAUUAGGCACUUCAUUACCUCCCUGUGUUCUUUCUCGGUUUUAUUCUUCUCGAUUGAAAUCUCUUCCCUCUUCUUUGUUCUUGACUUUAAUCAACAUCAAUUCCCAACAGUAACAUGAAUCGAUUGAAGUAAUUCCAGAUUGUUUCACAGAAAUCUCACAACAAAUAUCCCAGAAGUUCAAAUGAAACCCAAGCUUUUCUCUGCACCCAAUUUUCUAUCGAAAACUGUUGAACUCGCUUACAAGUUUCCUAGAACGAGAUUUCAAUUGUUUCCAUAUUUUCUCCCAUUCUUUCAUCGUCCCCAACUGAGUUCACACAAUUUCUAUCAAAAAAAUUUGGUUUGAAUUUUUUCAGGCUUCAUGUUUGUUCCCUUCACUCUUCCUAAUUAGAUUCUCUAACCCAACUUAUCAAUUUCCGCUUCAACACAUUCUGGAACAAAUUUGCAAGCUAACUGGAUAUUCAUUCCUCUAAAGACUUGCAGGGAUCUGUGUGCUUAUUAUAGAAGAUGCUCAAGGUCCUAUUCGCUGGGGAUCAUAUUGGCAAAGCUGAAUCUGAACUGUCUAUGGAGGAACAAUAUAAUCAGCAAUCAGAUUCAACUUCAGCGCAUUCUGUGACAGAUUUUCAUGCUAAUUGGAUAUCAGUUCCUCUAAAUACUUGAAAUUGGUGGUGAUCAGAUUGCAUGACAGAGUUCUUGAUAUUUGAUGAAGGUAGUCUCAACAAAAUCAGUAUGGUGAAGGAAAUGGCUCAUGAUGUCUGGAUCAAAGCAGAUUCACCCGUUGAUUUUGAAGUGCAGAAACAAAUAAACAUUUAGGUCCUGUUUGGUAUAGUUUUCAAAAACAGUUUUCUGUUUUUAAAAACAGAGAAAACAGGAAACAGGAGAAAACGCGUUUGGUAAGG